rnacentral:snoRNA from 1 species
AUGACCUUACUUGAACAGGAUCUGUUCUAUAGGCUUGUUCCACCUUAUCCUUGAGUUCUAAAGAGACACAAAACCAAGUCUAGCCGAUCUAUCCAAGAUA